CAGCAACAAAUUAUGAUGUAGGUUCCACCACUUGGGUAGACCUUAGGAUAGCACCCCUCCUAAGUGCAAUGGAGGUCACUCCCCUAGGCCAUGGUCCUUCAUGAUCAACCAUUGACCCCAUCCAGGUAAGUACCUUACAAUGAAGGUAUUCAAGUUCUUUUAUACUCUUGCUUAUUCCAAUACCUUUCACCUUCUCUCAAUGUGGGAGUCAACUAUCAGUAGGCAAUAUAUUUCCCAACUUAUGUAAGAUUGAUCGAUAAAAGGGUGCAUGCUGGUACUGAUUGUUGGUGGUGUAUCUUGGAGCCGGAGACAGUAGAACAUAUGUUGCUGCAGUGUAAUAAGAGCAUUCAGACUAUUGCUAAAUAGGAUCAUUGGAGAGAAUUGUUAUCAUAUAUUAAAUGCCCUGAGAAAAGGAGUAUCUUUGAAUCUAGUAUUUCCCUUGGGUCAAUGAAAUGAUUUCCAUUCGAUAACAGUAGUAACCAUGAAACAACCGAGUAUCAUGCAUUGCCAUGCCUUUUAUUGCAGGUUAAUUGGCGACGUCCGUCCAUAUCUUCUGGUCCAAACUGUAUCAUGCGUUGUCAUACCUCUUGUGGCCAUUUUAUUGCUUCCAAUGUACACACAUUCAACGUAUUGGCUAUGGGAUGCAGAUUGCCUGCAGCAUCAAAAUUAAAUAAGUAACAACUCUUGGCAUUUCACCACAUGAACCUUCGUUCUCAAUAAGGAUUAUUGAGAUUGUGCGGCGGUCCAUGAUGACGGUCACCACUAAUAGCAGCGCCGCAUUAAGGAUCCUUUCCAACUUCCCGCUAUCUCGGAACCCUAGCACAAGACUCUCUUUCUUCGAUUUCCUUUUUGCUGUUUGAGAAUUCGAGAAACCUUAUGCUGAAUGUUUCUUGUUUAACUUUAAUUGAGGACUUAAACCCCUAAGUUGUGAUGUUGAUGUGUUGAAACUCACUGAAGAUCCCAGUGGAUUCGACUUGGUUGAUCUGUAUGUGGAGCACGAGGUUGAUAACCCUGACAUAAUAGACGAGGCAGAGGCAUUUCAGGGAGUUGAUGUUGUUGAUGAUCUUAAAGUUAACAAUGAUAAGAAUGAUAAUGUUGUAGUUGAUGAUGAUGGUGAAGUUAACAAUGAUAAGGAGAAUAAUGUUGUAGUUAAUGAUGAUGUUGAAUGGUGGCCUGCCCGCUCCAAGUUGCGAGUUGGCCCAUGGGACUUGUGCGAAGGUACCUGUCUUAUGGGUCUUAGACAGGAGGGUAUAGCGUGAGGCUGGUUUCACAGAGCAGCGAACACUUCCUACUCUUGACAGUGGAAGGAUCACAGGCCGUUGUACCUCCAGUCCACAACACCUGGAUAAGUUCGUUUUUCUUGUGGCACCGACCAUUGAGUUUCACCAAAUUUCUAUGCCUCAAUUGACUUCUGCUGAGUAUUGCUUUAUACCCUGUCAUGAAUCUGCUGAUAUCCUCUUUAUAGCGGCAACUGAGUUUGAACCUUUAAAAUAUCCCUUGUAAACACCACCUUGGCCAAGCUUUUGUGUCUCUUCAAAGUUGUUUGUUGCAUUCAACAGCUCAUAAUAACUCAUCUUCUUAGUCCAACACUCAUUUGGAAUUCAUCAUCCAUAUCCAGAUCAGAUAAGGUCUUCUUCUUCUCUUCCACAAUAAAAUGAUUAACAUUGCUAUUAAACUCAAACUCAAAAAUACAAAACCUACUCUCUGUCCCUCCAAUAAUUUAGUUUUGAUUAAGUUUAUUUUCUUCUCAAAAUAUCUUCAUAAAAAUCAUAAUCUGGUUGGCUUGUACUAAAAGACCAUGACAUCAGCAUAUGUUCCUCAUCUACAGUUCCUGUUGAAGCUGAUAUGCCAACAAUAACAUAUUCUGCUAUACUGCAUCAUUAGUUGGAAGUCAUAUUCAUACUGAUUAAGUCAAAAUGUUCAACAUCAACAAUGUACACCAUAUUCAUAAAGAAGAGAGUGAAAUGGUUUCUUAGGCCUCUAUUACACAGAGCCUUUGGACCACCUCUCCACCCUUCUUUCGCUCAACUGCUGGUAGGAAAUGUAUUUCCCAACUUCUGUAAGAUUGAUCAACAAAAGGGUGCACGCUGGUACUGAUUGUUGGUGGUGUAUCUUGGAGCCGGAGACAGUAGAACAUGUGCUGCUGUAGUGUAAUAAGAGCUUUUAGACUGUUGCUAAAUAGGAACAUUGGAUAGAAAAUCUAUCAUAUAUUAAAUGCAUUGUGAAAGGAGAAAAGGAGUAUCUUUGAAUCUAGUAUUUCUCUUGGAUCAAUGAUUUCCAUUUGAUAGCCGUAGUAACCAACUGGAGUAUCAUGCAUUGUCAUACCUUUUAUUGCAGGUUCUUUGGUGACGUCCGUCCAUAUCUUCUGGUCCAAACUGUAUCAUGCCUUUUCGUACCUCUUAUGGCCAUUUUGUUGCCUCCAAUGUACAUACAUUCCACGCAUAUGGACUGCAGGUUUGGAUAUUAUGAUAUCAUUUGAAUUAGUGUUCCUAUCAACACAAGUAUGAUGUAGCUUGCUAUUAUGUAACAUUAACUAAACUAAGAG